GAAAUCGAUCCCUCUUCCCAAAAACCACUAACGCUAACUUUUUGGGAUUCAAGGAGUUUUGAUCUCGAGCUUUAAAUAACUUUGUACUAAAGUUCAAUUUCUCUUUCAUCCUCCAUUUCACUCUAAUCUGCAAUUGGAUUAAUCUAAGGCGACCUUUUGCAUCCUCAACUCUCUUGCAAUAUAAUAUCACGAAUAUGUGGAUCGUGACUCAGCAAGCAUGAUUCUGACGAUCCCUGGUGUAGAUCCAAGCUCCACGAUGUUAAGCCUUGAUGAAUCUGACUCGUCGGAUGUUAAACUCAAAAAGGCGCGAGCAGCCGCCAGUACUUAUCGAGAAGCUAAUGAGAGUUGUUACAGACAGCUAAAGAUUGAAGGAGAUGCAUUUGAGUGUUUCAGUGGAACAGAGAAAGAGAUUGUUAAGAUGAUAAAGACAGUUAUGAUGAUGAAUGUACAAGGCAAGCCAUGCCUAGCCAAUCUAUAGGUGAUUUUUCUCCUUUUAUUUGUUGCAUUUUCAUUUCUUAGUCCGACUGUAUCCGCCUCUCAACUUAUGAAUUGUGGUUUGAGCUAGAGAAGCAACACAAGCUCAUACACGGCGUGUUUUCAGGUUUGAAUCUUUCAAGAUUCCAGUCUAAAAUCACCUCAGCAUCUUGAUCCCUACUCUAGAUUUUAUAUUCUAAAAUAUUUCAAUUGUGUUAUUAUAUGGAUUGUUACAGCCUGUGCUUCUGUUUUUUUCUUCGUAUUGACGUUUUAUUUACAGUAUUGUGCAGUUUAUCUGGAAACAUCUGAAAAUUGAUUCAUUUAGUUGUCCGGCACGAGACACAUUUAAGAAAGUCACAGAGUCAUGGGGCUUGGAAUUCACAGCUACCUGCUAGCUAGGAAAAGUAAAGGAAACGUUUUGUACUGAGACUUUUACUCAUACCAAAUAUUUUUUACUGUUUAUCUUAUAUUUAUUUGCAGUGGUUCAGACUAUAAGACAAUGGUAUGUUUAAAUGUUCGUCAACCUUGAGAGGUGGAUGGAUAAUAUGGUUUUUAAUCCUUGCUAGCUGUGGUAUGUUGAAUUGGAGAUGAUGUUUUCAAGCGAGUUGCGGCCUAAAAGGGAUCUAUUUAGUGCAUUAAUGUUUUAGAUUUAUUGGGCAUAUGAAGCUCAUCGAUGGGCAUCAUCUCCAGCAACGUCCAGUCCUUGACAUGAUCACGGGGAUGGAGAUUGUUGGUACACGUACAACCUAACGAGGAAGGUCUGGUUCAGCUCAAUGUCUUCCUCCAGAUUCCAGAGUAUUCAUUGACAACAAGGCUAGCUGUGCAUCCUAACGCGUCUGAACUGGUGAACACAUCGAAGAUAACAAAGAUUGAAACCAUCACAAUUGGUGCGAUAGUCACCUUCGUCAACAAUGAAUCCGUUCAGGUACAGCCAUAUUUCACUCCCGCCUGAAUAGUAUACUUACACCCUAAUUGUUCAACUUUUUUUUUCUCUAAUAAAUGUUGAAUGCUUAUUCCUACUGCAAAGAGACAGUUGACGAUGUCGAAAGAAAUCCUGGGUGGUAUUACAAAGGGCCAACAUCGUUGAUGUGAGAAUGUUACCAGGGUUGUGAAGUAAUGUCACUGACACAGUUACACUGACGAACCUCAAUCUACUAUUCUGAUGUUGCAAAGUAUUUUUAGUUCCCCAACUCCUCUCUGUUUUUUUUUGGUAAAACAUUUCCGUUAUAAUUACAGGUUCCGUGCUGAGAUAUAUGUGUAUGACAGUGGUGACAAAGCCAGCGUCGUACUCCUUUGAGAUGCAGGCACUGAACGUACCAGAAGACAAGCUUCUGACUUACUCGACAAUUACUUGGGAGGCUAAUGAAGAGUUGGUUGGUGAGGAAGAGGUUCCAACUCCGCAUUGUUUGGUUGAUGCAAGCGGCCAGUUACACAAGUUCAGGGUCAAAGUUAUCCCAUGAAAUUUUACAUCCAAAAGGCAGACCAUCAUAGUCACCAAAGUUUUUUGUCCUGCGCUCCUUCCACCUCGGAAAACAACAGUGGACAAUCCAAGCUAGGCGCUAGAUGUGGGUCACCGCCUCUCUCCAGUCAGUGAUGCUGCUAACUGUACCGAAGGUUCAAGAAGCUUGGGAGGUUUUCUGGUGAGGCAAAUUCAUCAACCAAGGAGAGGGAGAGGAACGAAGAGAAGAAAGACAAAUGUCCUAGGCUUAGCACCUAAUAAGACCUCCCUGCCUCCACGUACUCACUAAAUUGCCGCUUUAUGUCACCAUUGGAACAUUUAUUUCAUCUGUUGCUAUGACAAUUUUUUACUUUUGGUUGCAUUUUAAUUGCUGUUGAUUGGAAGUUCCCAUCUUAAUUUCCAAAACCUUUCCUGAACUA